AUUGAACGCUGGCGGCAGGCCUAACACAUGCAAGUCGAGCGGAUGAAGGGAGCUUGCUCCUGGAUUCAGCGGCGGACGGGUGAGUAAUGCCUAGGAAUCUGCCUGGUAGUGGGGGAUAACGUCCGGAAACGGGCGCUAAUACCGCAUACGUCCUGAGGGAGGAAGUGGGGGAUCUUCGGACCUCACGCUAUCAGAUGAGCCUAGGUCGGAUUAGCUAGUUGGUGGGGUAAAGGCCUACCAAGGCGACGAUCCGUAACUGGUCUGAGAGGAUGAUCAGUCACACUGGAACUGAGACACGGUCCUGACUCCUACGAGAGGCAGCAGUGGGGAAUAUUGGACCAUGGGCGAAAGCCUGAUCCAGCCAUGCCGCGUGUGUGAAGAAGGUCUUCGGAUUGUAAAGCACUUUAAGUUGGGGGGAAGGGCAGUAAGUUAAUACAUUGCUGUUUUGACGUUACCAACAGAAUAAGCACCGGCUAACUUCGUG
rnacentral:rRNA from 1 species